rnacentral:tRNA from 2 species
GCCCUGUUAGUUCAAUGGAUAGAACGUCAGUUUCCGGAACUGGAAGUUGCAGGUUCGAGUCCUGCACAGGGCACCA